rnacentral:lncRNA from 1 species
UGGGGAGCAGAAUUCCAACAGAAUAAAUCAAUGGAAAGACCUGAGCUGACUCAAAGGUGCAUGUAUUAGGGAAUAUGCCAAUACAACGGAAUUACCCACCAAGGAUACUUCAGAUGAAAAUCCGGACUCCGAUGGGGAGAAUCUACUAAGGGGCCUCGCUGGGGAUCAUCCAAACGGGACUCCUCCGGGGAAACACCCGGGCGAGGUAUUACCGGUUACUGGGUAAUAAGCUCAAAGAGACAUGUG